rnacentral:lncRNA from 1 species
GCGGGAGGCGCCGUUGCCUGCGCCGGGAGCGGCCCGGCGCCGCCUCGGGGGGAGACGAGGCGCCGCUUCCAGCUGGCGGAGCUUAAAAGGGGCCUGGCGACGGGGGAGCCGCUGCUGCAGCCCGCGGGAGGAGCCGGCGACUGGGGCGCCUGCGGCUUCACGGGCGUUUAGAUGCAGGCUCUUUGCAGGUUUUUUUUUUUUUUGUAGAUCUACUUACCAACAACUACUGAAGAUGAAUGAAUUUAAAUACAAGUACAAUCAGCUAAGCUACACCUCCCUGAGGAAAUGAUGACAUCCCAGUGGUGUGCUGCUGUCUUGGAGUGUUUUGAAGCCCAGGUUGCUGGCCUGGUGGAAACGUUUCUGGUGGAGGUAGACAGUGCAAACUCUAUCAGUUCACAAGCAGUAUCAAAGACAGGGGAGUUUUACCAUAACAUUACAAAGAAUUUUAUUAUGCUUGUGGAGCUGAUACAACGAGCAUAUAAGCAAUGGACCCAGGUCUACAAGCACCUGCGCAACCAUGGUUACGAUUCCAAGCUGCAUCCAUGUACUGAAUGUGAGAUGUUUCUUACAAAUUGGCAGAGGCUAUAUGUCUGCAGGAACUGUUCUUCUUGCUGGUAAAUAAAUAGGGCGACCGUUUUCCUUGAGAUUAUCUUGAAUCUGAUUAUCUUCAUCUGAAAACAGAAGAGAAAUGCAUUCAUGACAUCUGCCUGUAUCUGUUACACAUCUUAUAUUUUUUUAUUUAAGUGCUUACUGAAUAUUUAAUGUUAUAUAAAGCCACAUGGCAUUUCUUGCACUAUUCUGGAUGCUCUGCUUUGUUACUGAGGUUGCCUUUUAUAUAAAAGAUCCUGUUCUCACUUGCUCUUGUCUUGCCAYUUUUUUUUAAUUGUUUCAGUUGUAUUGGCUGAAAUUUUUCAUGUUGGGUCUUUGCUUCCAAUUGAUAGUUUUAUUUCAAAAAGAGAUCAACCAAAGUGGUUCACCCAAUUUUCUAGAAUGCAUAUCCUCAUUGUGAUGUUUUUAAGUGGAAACAAUAAGGAGAGUGGGGAUACCUUUCCUUUAAAAAGGCCCUAAUGAUGCAUGGUUUGCAGCAAGACUUAAGCAUUUUUCAGAUGGUGCCUUUCGUGUGCAGAAGGGCGCACUCCUGAUGCAAAAGUGUACUGAG